rnacentral:snRNA from 1 species
GAAUUGAGGGCGAUCUGGCUGCGACAUCUGUCACCCCAUUGAUCGCCAGGGUUGAUUCGGCUGAUCUGGCUGGCUAGGCGGGUGUCCCCUUCCUCCCUCACCACUCCAUGUGCGUCCCUCCCAAAGCUGCGCGCUCGGUGGAAGAGGACAACCAUCCCAGAUAGAAGGAGUGUACCGAUCUUCGGUCAAGGGUAUACGAUAGCUGCGCUCCCCUGCUAGAACCUCCAAACAAGCUCAAAGUCUAAUUUCUAGCUUUGACCAUCUAGGAAUUCAUCCCUUUUUAUUGCUGAGUCAAU